ACGCGAGACACGACGAAAGCUGUUAAAAUACUACGCCUUCGUCGAGUUCGCUGGGUUGGCGUGAGAGAGAAACCCUCGAUUUCGUUGCGAGAACGGGGGCGCUGAAUCUGGAAGCAGAGUCGGCCUCUCGCAAGGAUGCAAAGAUCAUCAUGGGGGACGAGAUGGAGGUCAUCGUAAACUCGUCGAUUCCAAGAUUGAAGUCUUUGUAAAUUGAUGUUUGCUUCCCGACCAUAACUAGCUACCAAAAUACAAUGGGCACUUGUUGUGACUCUGGAAAACUUGGUUGUAAAGAGAGGCUUAAGCAUAGGUUCUGAAGUUCCCAUCUGAUCCUUCGGAUUCGGCAUCAUUCUGCACAAAAUGGAAAACACUUGGUUGUCACAGGAAUAUUACGUCCAGCUUCUGGUGGUGAAACUUGUGACUAACAUCAGAAAAUGUUUUUGUUGAAGAAAUUGCACCGAAAGGCCUUGUACCACUAGCAAAGAUUAUAUUGAUUUGUAAUACAGAUACAUCUCAGGAUUCUGCCACGAGAGAAAGGACCACCCAGCGUGGAUCCCUUUUGCCAUAUUGAUCCAUGAUGGCUUGCCAACUACGGAAGAUGGGCCACAGCUAGGCUGCGAGAUCGACCAGUUUGAGAAUGUGGUGACUUGCAAUCAAGGCUUUGUAGCAGAAGCACAGUCGAACCAGGGUAGUAAUCCAGUGAGUUUGGUAAUCCAGUUCUUUGUAGCAGAAAUUGUCGGGCAGGGACUGUAGCAGAAGCGAAGAAGUCAUAAUCGUCUUAUUUGUAUGAAUCCUUUGUUCUCUGGUUGAAGGUAAGGUAAGACUGGUCAGGAAACAAUGAUUUGUCGGUCAACUCCGUCGUGAUGAUACUUCCUCGUCAAUGAUUAUGGCAGUGCUUCGGCCCA